UUUUUAAUCUUUUAUAACCUAAAGAAUCAGGUUUUUCUUAUAAUGCCAAAGAAUGACCUUUCUAAAGUACUACCCAAAGAACAUUUCCUUUCAAAAAAGGUACUAUACUUGAUAAUCGGAGUAAGCAUUCUGGUAGAAAGUGUUCACAUAAAAAAAAAAUACAUCAUUGUAAAACCAAAACAUUCCUCGUUCCGCUCAGAAUCUAAAAUAUAUUAAUAAGAAAUCAGUUAGUUCAUUU